GCGGCGGUGGUGUAAGGCGUAGCAUAGCUGCCCGGAAAGCAGAAGGUGUGGGUUCCAGUCCCACCUGUCGCA
rfam:Heligmosomoides polygyrus genome assembly, scaffold: HPBE_scaffold0002719